AGGUACUGCUGUGAGCACCCAGGGCAUCUGCAGUUCCACAGCUGAUGGUGAGUGUGAGAAUGGGUCCAGAAAAUGAAGACAUGGUGGGGGUGGAGAUGGGGAGAGAGAAAGGCUUUAUUCCCUCUGAAUUCCCAAUAUCCACCCCAGGAGGGCAGAUUCUCCAUGACUUGGAAUGCAGUGUGUUUUGCAGCUAAUGAUGCUGGUGGAAUCCCUGUGCCAUCUCUCCAGGUACUCUCCAGGCUCCAGCCCUGCUCCUUAACGCUUCCAGAGCUCAGGAAGGGGAAGUUGUCCUGGCUCAGUGUGUCCUUCUGAAGCGGGUUCCUGCUGCCCGAAUUGUCUUCUGCAAGGAUGGGAUGGAGGUUCACAACAUGAAAGCCCAUCAGGAUACGGUCACCUACUCCAUGCUGCUGAACAUCUCUGCAAGAAGCAGUGGGACAUACACGUGUAGGUACCAGCAGAGGAACAAGAGCAAUUGGCUAAGGAGAUCUCCCCUCAGCACUCCCUUGGAUCUACAUGUCACAGGUGGGACAUGACACCAGGGUGGUGAGGACAUAGGGGAUGGGGGGUAAUUAACACCACAUGGAUAUCCCAUGUGCAGCAAGAGGUGCCAAUAGAGAGAGGAUGGCUCUGGAAGGGUUCCUGUCUUGAUCUUAUGCUGCAGAAAUGAGGCUCUGCAGUGCCCAGGUACAUAAAGCAGGCGCAGGAUUUGGGCAUGAUCCCUUUCCUGGGUAAGGAUGCUCCAAGGGUUAUUCCAAAAAUGUUUUGAGAAUGCGGAAGGGAAACUGGGGUGAUUUCCAGGUGUGAGGUUGCUCCUUUUUGUUUGAUUUCCUAUGCAGCAAUGAGAUGAUGCUGUGGCCAUAGUGUGAGGCUGGGCAGAUGCAGGUGUGCUUUGGGAUCCGUGUGCCUCUACCUGCAUCAAAGCCACCAAAAAAGAGCCUUUGGAUGGUGGCAGGAGGGGAAAUGCAUUAUGGAGUCUUGCAAAUGGGAUGCUGUCAUCCCAUCCCAUAGAGGCAGAGCAACAUACCAGUCCUUUCUUAUCCACAAGGUCAAGGAAAGGAGAGAGUUGUGCUGCAGUAUCAUACGGUGCACAGUUGCAUUUAUGCCAUGCAUUUCUUAAUUCAUCAUAGUUUAGAUAAUUGAUCAUCAGAAUGGCAGAAACCCCAUGUCAGCCCACGUGUCUCAGGGGACAUAGCUGGCCCUGUGGGCAUCUUCCAAGGCCUACAUACCCUGCCCCGUACCAGUGCACUCAGGAGCUGUGUCCAUGCAGAGCUAUGAGCACUGGUGACACUCCGCCCAUCCAUAUGUCUGUCCAGGUCAUGUGUCC
rnacentral:lncRNA from 1 species